rnacentral:rRNA from 1 species
AUUGAACGCUGGCGGCAUGCCUUACACAUGCAAGUCGAACGGCAGCACGGGAGCAAUCCUGGUGGCGAGUGGCGAACGGGUGAGUAAUACAUCGGAACGUGCCCAAUCGUGGGGGAUAACGCAGCGAAAGCUGUGCUAAUACCGCAUACGAUCUACGGAUGAAAGCAGGGGAUCGCAAGACCUUGCGCGAAUGGAGCGGCCGAUGGCAGAUUAGGUAGUUGGUGAGGUAAAGGCUCACCAAGCCGUCGAUCUGUAGCUGGUCUGAGAGGACGACCAGCCACACUGGGACUGAGACACGGCCCAGACUCCUACGGGAGGCAGCAGUGGGGAAUUUUGGACAAUGGGCGAAAGCCUGAUCCAGCCAUGCCGCGUGCAGGAUGAAGGCCUUCGGGUUGUAAACUGCUUUUGUACGGAACGAAACGGCCUUUUCUAAUAAAGAGGGCUAAUGACGGUACCGUAAGAAUAAGCACCGGCUAACUACGUGCCAGCAGCCGCGGUAAUACGUAGGGUGCAAGCGUUAAUCGGAAUUACUGGGCGUAAAGCGUGCGCAGGCGGUUAUGUAAGACAGUUGUGAAAUCCCCGGGCUCAACCUGGGAACUGCAUCUGUGACUGCAUAGCUAGAGUACGGUAGAGGGGGAUGGAAUUCCGCGUGUAGCAGUGAAAAUGCGUAGAUAUGCGGAGGAACACCGAUGGCGAAGGCAAUCCCCUGGACCUGUACUGACGCUCAUGCACGAAAACGUGGGGAGCAACAGGAAUAAAACCCCUAGUAGCCCAAGGGCAAUUCGACGUGGAUAUCAAGUUAUCGUACCGCGACCCCAGGGGGGGCCCGUACCCACUUUUUGUUCCUUUUAUUAGGGAAAUUGAACGCUGGGCUUAUCA